UGUGAGAACGCACACACUAUCAUGAGGACAGCAGCAUCGGUGUAACUGCCCCCAUGAUUCAAUUACCUACCACCAGGUCCCUCCCAUGACACAUGGGAAUUAUGGGGACUCAGAUGGAAUUACUUGGAGGCUGAUAUGGACUUUUUGUAGUCCACAUUUGGAAGCACUCAAUAAAACACGAAAACCUCUGUCUUCUAUAGCCUAUGGUUAAAGCAGGCCCAGGGAAUACUUUUACUCAUUCUUUUAACAUAUAUUUAUCAAGCAUCUAGUAUGUGUCAGGCCCUGAUCAUACAGCAGGAAACAUGACAGAGGAAAAAAAAACCGAAACACUUGCCCUCAUGGAGUUCAUAUUCUAGAGAAUUAAUGAGUAAGUACAUUAUAUAAUAUGUUAGAUAAUAUGGUAGGAGAAAAGUAAUGCAGAGAAAGGCAAAGACGAGGUUGCAGAUUUAGGUUAGGUGGUCAUGGAAAGUCUCACUAAAAAGAAAACAGGUGAGGGAGCCUGCUUUAUGAAUAGCUGGAAAGACAGUCCCAAGGAGCAAGAUGGCCAGUGCAAAGGCCAUGAAGUAGGAAUAUUCUGGGGUAUUAGGGGAACAGCAAAGAGGCCAAUGUGGCCAGAACCAAAUGAGCAAGGGAGACUAGAAGUAUGAGAUGAAACUAGCGAGGCCAGAUUGUG
rnacentral:lncRNA from 1 species